rnacentral:misc_RNA from 1 species
CAUGUAUCAAAUCAUUUAUGUGAGUUCCCAUCCAUUCUCUUCACCACGAGAAUACAUGUAUCAAAUCAUUUCCAUCAUAAUAGAAUUCAGAAGAACCUGAACCAAAACAUCCCAUGGAUCAUGUCCCCCUAUACUGGCUAUAUCCUUUCUAGAAAAAGCAUAAAAAUUGAGAUCAAACUUUGCAGGAUUUGGGAACAAGCAGUCCUCUUUUUCCAAAUAAUUUAUGGCAG